rnacentral:rRNA from 1 species
UACGUAGGGGGCAAGCGUUGUUCGGAAUUACUGGGCGUAAAGGGCGCGUAGGCGGCACGGCAAGUCGGGAGUGAAAGGCCUGGGCUCAACCGAGGAACUGCUUUCGAGACUGCCGAGCUAGAGUGCGGAAGGGGCAACUGGAAUUCCCAGUGUAGCGGUGAAAUGCGUAGAUAUUGGGAAGAACACCGGAGGCGAAGGCGGGUUGCUGGGCCGACACUGACGCUGAGGCGCGAAAGCCAGGGGAGCAAACAGG